AUUGAGACUCAUUCUGUAGGGACAACAGAGAACUGAUUUGGAUCACCUGGCUCAAGUAGGUGGGACCAUCUAGUUGCAGGAAAACCAGGUCAGGCCUCCCACUGAUUCUACAUCAUGGUAUAAUGGAAACUACAGGGCUAUCUUUCUCCAGAUACUUUGUUGUUAUGAAUCUCCUCCAGAUGACAAUAUCAAGUUCAGAACAAUUCAUAGUGAAUAGCUUAUAGAGGCCAAUCUUGGCUCCACUGGGUGGAAAAGUUGAGCUCAGUUGCCAGCUGUCUCCACCACAAAGCGCAGAACACAUGGAAAUACGCUGGUUCCAGAGUCACUACACACGACCUGUUUACCUGUAUAAGGAUGGUAAAGACCUGUAUGGAGAAACUAUCUCCAAGUAUGUGGAGCGGACAGAGCUCCUGAAAGAAGCCAUUGGAGAAGGUAAAGUGACCCUCAGGAUCCUUAAUGUCAGUGCUGAUGAUGACGGGCAGUACCACUGCUUCUUCAAAGACAGAAAUGUCUAUGAAGAGUCCAUCACAGAAGUGAAGGUCACAGCUACAAGUUUAGAAAUACAAAUUCUUAUUCAUCCUCCGAAUAGCAAAGGUCUUUUAGUGGAGUGUAAUUCAGAAGGUUGGUUACCACAGCCUCAAAUGGAAUGGAGAGAGAGCAGAGGAGAGAUCAUUCCGCCUGCAUCAAAAUCCCAUUCCCAGGAUAGAAACAGAUUGUUCACCAUGAAGAUGAGCCUUCUCCUUAGAGACAGCUCCCAUGGCAACAUCACUUGCUACCUUCAAAACCCUGUAACCGGUCAAGAGGAAAGGACAAGCAUUGUCUUACCAGAUAAACUGUUUCCAUGGAAUUCUAUCUGGAUACUGAUUCUGGUUGCAAUCUUGGCUGUUCUGCUAUUCUUCAUUAUGUUGCCAAGUGUUGAACUACAGCAAAGAGAGCAACGUAACUGGUGUGACUAGAAUUCUCCCUGCCUGAUAGUCAUUGGGAUAGCCUUCUUUUCAAUGUGUGCAAUUGUUGGACUCAUUAUCGGUUUGCAUCGCAGAAACAGAGAAACACCACCUUGGUAACCAGUGCUGCUGUGAGGUGAGAAAAGAACAGGACAGAACUGAAGUAACAACCAGCUCUCACAGUGAGUGAUUCACAUCAGCGUAAAGUCAAGCCAAGCCCCUGCCAAACACCAUUCUACCCUCUGCCUCUGAGACAGCAAGAUAGAGCUUAAGUAGCAACCAGCUCACUCACAGUGGGUGAGUCACAUCAGCAGCAUCAAGACAAGACAAGGAUGUGUGGAGUCCCCCUGCCAUCUGAGUGACCACUCUUGCAGGACCAGGCAUCACCAUGGCCUGGAAAAACCAGCCUCAGUGCCCUCAGUAUUUUUUGGUUGCUCCUUCCCUGGAGUCCUUCACAGCACCAGAAACUGACUCUUCCUGGCUCCAGUUCUCUUCUAGAUCUGAGAGGACAAAAGCCCCACAACCUCCCAGCAACCUGUGCAUCAAUAAAGGCUGCCUUGCUCCCUG